AUGGAUAUGGAACAUCAAAUACCAAAAAAAUUAGGUUUACUUGCUACUCAUGGAGAUGGGGAACCUCCUAAAACCCUCGAUGCUCAUUAUGUGAAAGAUAUUAUGUACUACUUUGAUAAUCCCGAGAAAACCCCAUUCAAUUUUGUAAUGGGAGACACGUUGGAUCAACGUGAAUACUUUAGGGAUUAUCGCUUGACUCAAAAAGGGAAACUAUUAUGGGAUCAAAUUUAUAUGUUGAAGUGGUAUGCUAGGCAACUAUGCUUGAGAUAUGAUUAUACUUGUUGCUCUAGGAUGAAGGCUCCACACCUUCCCUUUUCAUGUAAAUUUAAUGAUAAUGAAACCUUGGCUUCUUAUGCUAGAGGUAUAUAUGAUUACUAUGAUGUGGAACAAAUAGAAGAAUUUGUUGCUUUUAAGGGUGCAUGUGAAAUUGAAUCUUUGUUUAAAGAAUUUGAAGAUUUUGAUGAUUCAGUCUAUAGACCUGAAAAUUUAGCUAUCCUUAAAUAUUGCUAUGAGAAUUAUGAAUACAAUGCCGAUAUUGAUGCGUUUAUUGAGAAAGUCUCCGCUGUCCAAGAAGAGACUAAUAUUUUGCAGGAGUCUAUGGAAGAAGAAAUUAAUGACAUUGUGAGCUCAUUGGAUGAAAAAGAUGAGGAGGAGUGCGAAGAACAAAAGGAGGAAGAGCGGAUUAGCUACCCGUGCCCACCUUCUAAUGAGAGUAACUCUUCAACUCAACAUUUUUUAAUUUCCCUUCGUGCUUACCAAAGGAUGAUUGCUAUGAUGAUUGUUAUGAUCCCGUUGAUUCUCUUGAAAUACCCCUUUUUGAUGAUGCUUGCUAUGCUUGUGGCCAACAUGCCAAUAUGA
rnacentral:rRNA from 1 species